rnacentral:rRNA from 1 species
GACGAACGCUGGCGGCGUGCUUAACACAUGCAAGUCGAGCGACUGCAUUCUUUUCGGAGGGUGUAUGGAGCGGCGAACGGGUGAGUAACACGUGAGUAAUCUGCCUUUGGCUUGGGAAUAACUUCGGGAAAUCGGGGCUAAUGCCUGAUGUUUACUGUCUGCUGCAUGGUGGGUGGUGGAAAGAUUUUUUGGCCAGGGAUGAGCUCGCGGUCUAUCAGCUUGNGGGUGGGGUAAUGGCUUACCAAGGCUUUGACGGGUAGCCGGCCUGAGAGGGUGUUCGGCCACACUGGGACUGAGACACGGCCCAGACUCCUACGGGAGGCAGCA